GAGUUUGAUCAUGGCUCAGGACGAACGCUGGCGGCGUGCUUAACACAUGCAAGUGGUGCGACGAACCAGGGCUUGCCCUGGGGCAAAGCCGCGAACGGGUGAGUAACACGUGGGUAACCUGCCCCGAUGACCGGGACAACCCGAGGAAACUCGGGCUAAUACCGGAUGUGGUGCACACACAUAAGUGUGUUCACUAAAGGAAGCUUCGGCCUCCGCAUUGGGAGGGGCCCGCGGCCCAUUAGCUUGUUGGUGGGGUCAUGGCCUACCAAGGCGACGAUGGGUAGCUGGUCUGAGAGGACGAUCAGCCACACUGGGACUGAGACACGGCCCAGACUCCUACGGGAGGCAGCAGUGGGGAAUCUUGCGCAAUGCGCGAAAGCGUGACGCAGCAACGCCGCGUGGGGGAAGACGGCUUUCGGGUUGUAAACCCCUUUCAGGAGGGACGAAGGCUCACCGGUGAAUAGCCGUGUGGGUUGACGGUACCUCCAGAGAAGCUCCGGCUAACUACGUGCCAACAGCCGCCGC
rnacentral:rRNA from 1 species